AAGUUGUAACAAGGUCUCGCCGAUGGUGAACCAGCGGAGGGAUCAUUA
rnacentral:rRNA from 1 species